rnacentral:lncRNA from 10 species
CAAGUGGACAGUUACAGAAGCUUAGCCUCAGAGCAGGGCCAGCUCUUCUUAGCAGUGCCCUGUGAGGCCAACAACAUCAUUCUACACCCAGAAAAUCUAUUCUUUUGGAUUGACAAUACACAAUUAUUGAUUCUCACCUCCAGGCCCACCACCAGAUGCCUGAUUGUGAAUCAACAGUAAGUCACUAAUGAUCAGACAUGGUAAUGGAUAGAUGCAGAGGCGCCUGAAGCAUCCCAGAAGCUGAAGACCAGGUACUACCCCUCGCAUUAUCUACCACAUAAAA